rnacentral:tRNA from 1 species
GGUGUUGUGGCUUAGUGGUAGAGCGCUAGCCUUGCAUGUGUGAGGCAUUAGGUUUGAUCCUCAACACCA